rnacentral:rRNA from 1 species
GACGUAGGGUGCAAGCGUUGUCCGGAAUCAUUGGGCGUAAAGCGCGCGUAGGUGGCCUCGUAAGUCCGCUGUGAAAGUCAAAGGCUCAACCUUUGAAAGCCGGUGGAUACUGUGGGGCUAGAGUACGGAAGAGGCGAGUGGAAUUCCUGGUGUAGCGGUGGAAUGCGCAGAUAUCAGGAGGAACACCAAUAGCGAAGGCAGCUCGCUGGGACGUUACUGACACUGAGGCGCGAAAGCGUGGGGAGCGAACAGG